rnacentral:tRNA from 1 species
CUGAGGCUAGUUAAUUUAUAAUAAGUGUUUUGGGGACACUAGUUCCUUUUACCGGGGCCUUAGA